UACGAAGGGGGGCUAGCGUUGUUCGGAAUUACUGGGCGUAAAGCGCACGUAGGCGGAUAUUUAAGUCAGGGGUGAAAUCCCGGGGCUCAACCCCGGAACUGCCUUUGAUACUGGGUAUCUAGAGUCCGGAAGAGGUGAGUGGAAUUCCGAGUGUAGAGGUGAAAUUCGUAGAUAUUCGGAGGAACACCAGUGGCGAAGGCGGCUCACUGGUCCGGUACUGACGCUGAGGUGCGAAAGCGUGGGGAGCAAACAGG
rnacentral:rRNA from 1 species